rnacentral:lncRNA from 1 species
UUACACCUACAUUACUCAUUCAUUAAAUCCAACGGCUCAUAUUUCUCUACCCGGAUCGAACGAUCAAGAUCAGCUCCGCCUCUCUUCCGCGUGCCGAUCGCUCGUCACGGCUCCAUUUCCGCGCCUCCCCUGCUAACCCCGCGCACACAUCACGCCCUCACGGCCUCACCCCUCCCUGCCGCAUCUUCAACCCCCAACUCACGCAUCGCCCCCCUCCUCUCUCCCGGACUCCCCGUCGUGAGCCGCCAAGUCGCCGUCGCCACACGCCGCUCCUCUCCCCACUCGCCGGAGGAACUCUCUCCAAACCCUAACCCUAACCUCCUCUCUCUCCACGAAUCCGCCCUGCACGCCGUCGCGCGCCGCUCCCCUCCCCACUCGCCAGUUUCCUCCACGUCUCACCUGAUCUCCACCUUGAAAUCCGCCACCGGAGCAGCGUUGGGUCGUCGCCCUCGGUGGCUCAUGUCGCACUGUCGCCCACCUUCGCGCCGCCACCGGUCUCCUCCGCACGAUUGGAACAUGCUAAUCUUCUGCUCAAGAAAACACCAAUGUUGGAGAUGAUCACAAUUGUCCUCCACUGCUCUUGAUCAUUCAAGCAGGCACAUAUACAUACAUAUACACAAAGAUAUGCCAUGGUGUGGAUGGAAAUCGAGGAGGAAUUCUGCAUCUGCACUCUAUUGACAGAGUUCUACUUAUAUAAACAUUGCAAGUGAUGCAUCUUUCGAACGAAGGAUGGCGCUUGACCCUGGAUGAGGAGCGGAUGUCCUGCUCAACGAGAACUACCGUGGAUGCAAUUUUUCUUUCAGUUUUGGUGACUUCAGUGCUGCUAUUUUAUGAGAUUUUCCGUUGUUUGUGAUCAGUAAGCAAGCAUGUACUAAUCAGUUGGUGGCACUGAGCAUGGCUCUUUCUUUUUAGAUCAGA